rnacentral:tRNA from 1 species
GAACGCAUAGCUCAGUUGGUUAGAGCACUACCUUGACAUGGUAGGGGUCGGGAGUUCGAGUCUCUUUGCGUUCA